UGCUGGGCAGUCUGAGCCCCAGGGGGGAAGAACGGGAGCAGGCGUGACUGUCCCGUCCCCUCUAGGGGUGCCACCCAGCGUCCCACCUGGGCGAGCCUGAUGUGCCGGCCGAGGCACGGGCGCUGGACAAGCCGCAGGGCGUGAAAACCCGACGUACCGGCAGAGGCGUGAGAGCCUGGCGAGCCGGCUGAGGCCUGACGUGGGAUGGGCGCCUUCCCGAGCCAACCUGGGCAAGAAACCUCUCAAGCCAGCUAGGGCGUGACAGCUCGACGAGCUGGUUUAGGCACCCCCGGUUCCAUCGGUGGCGCCACCCAGACCCGACAUUACCACCAACCGGAAAGGCAGCACAAGACAGGAACAGCGUCAGCACAUGGGUAUACAAGGAAACAUGACAAUCAAUGCUGAAGCGGGGGAACAGACAGAUAAAGGGGAGGUAAUGACAGAGGUGAUUGAGUCCAGGAAAACCGUUACAGCAGGUGUGCGUAAUGAUGGUGGCAGGAGUACGUAAUGCUGCGCCCUCGAGCACCAGGGGGAAGAGCAGGAGCAAGCGUGACAGAAAACAACUGUUUGCAAACUAUUGGAUUAGGUUAAACCCUAUUUUAUUUUUAGUCUGAUUAAACUCAUAUUACUGUUACAUAAUGUCAGAUCCUUGUGAAGAUGUCAAACUGCUCAUGUAUUUCUUGGAAUUAUGAUGGUAAAGACAUCUUA